CACGUAGGGGCCUAGCGUUGUCCGGAUUUAUUGGGCGUAAAGAGCUCGUAGGCGGUUCGGCAAGUCGGGUGUGAAAUCUCCACGCUCAACGUGGAGGGGCCACCCGAUACUGCUGUGACUCGAGUCCGGUAGGGGAGUGUGGAAUUCCCGGUGUAGCGGUGAAAUGCGCAGAUAUCGGGAGGAACACCAGUAGCGAAGGCGGCACUCUGGGCCGGUACUGACGCUGAGGAGCGAAAGCGUGGGCAGCAAACAGG
rnacentral:rRNA from 1 species